GCCAGUGUGGCAUAGUGGUUUGAGUGCUGGACUACAGCUAUGGAGACCAGGGUUCAAUUCCCCGCUCAAACA